UACGUAGGGGGCAAGCGUUAUCCGGAUUUACUGGGUGUAAAGGGAGCGUAGGCGGCCUGUUAAGUCAGCGGUAAAAGCCCGGGGCUCAACCCCGGCGAGCCGUUGAAACUGACGGUCUUGAGUGGGCGAGAAGUAUGCGGAAUGCGUGGUGUAGCGGUGAAAUGCAUAGAUAUCACGCAGAACUCCGAUUGCGAAGGCAGCAUACCGGCGCCCAACUGACGCUCAUGCACGAAAGCGUGGGUAUCGAACAGG
rnacentral:rRNA from 1 species